rnacentral:rRNA from 1 species
CAGCCGCCACGGGAAUACGUAGGUGGCAAGCGUUGUCCGGAAUUAUUGGGCGUAAAGCGCGUCUAGGUGGUUAUAUAAGUCUGAUGUGAAAAUGCAGGGCUCAACUCUGUAUUGCGUUGGAAACUGUAUAACUAGAGUACUGGAGAGGUAAGCGGAACUACAAGUGUAGAGGUGAAAUUCGUAGAUAUUUGUAGGGAUGCCGAUGGGGAAGCCAGCUUACUGGACAGAUACUGACGCUGAAGCGCGAAAGCGUGGGUAGCAAACAGGAUUAGAUACCCCCGUAGUCCCUGUCUCUUAUACA